rnacentral:rRNA from 1 species
CCCUUAGACGUCCUGGGCCGCACGCGCGCUACACUGACGAAGGCAACGAGCUUUCCUUUACCGAAAGGUACGGGUAAUCUUUUGAAACUUCGUCGUGCUGGGGAUAGAUCCUUGCAAUUUUUGAUCUUAAACGAGGAAUUCCUAGUAAGCGCAAGUCAUCAACUUGCGUUGAUUACGUCCCUGCCCUUUGUACACACCGCCCGUCGCUACUACCGAUUGAAUGGUUUAGUGAGGCCUUCGGAUCCGCGACUCGUUUUGUGGAGAAGUUGGACAAACUCAGUCAUUUAGAGGAAGUAAAAGUCGUAACA